rnacentral:rRNA from 1 species
GACGAACGCUGGCGGCGUGCUUAACACAUGCAAGUCGAGCGGAGCGGCGAACGGGUGAGUAACGCGUGAGUAACUGCCCCCCUCUCUGGGAUCACAGUUGGAAACGGCUGCUAAUACCGGAUAGUGGGGGAUGACUCGCGUCCUAUCAGCUUGUUGGUGGGGUAGUGGCCUACCAAGGCGACGACGGGUAGCCGGCCUGAGGGGGGGACCGGCCACAUGACGCUGAGAUACGGACCAAACUCCUACGGGAGGCAGCAGUGGGGAAUAUUGCCGAAUGGGGGAAACCCUGAUGCAGAAACGCCGGGUGCGGGAUGACGGCUUUCGGGUUGUAAACCGCUUUCAGCCAUAACGCGGUAGUGGCAGAAGAAGCACCGGCUAACUACGUGCCAGCAGCCGCGGUAAUAC